UUCCGGUUGAUCCUGCCGGACCUGACUGCUAUCGGAUUGAUACUAAGCCAUGCAAGUCUUUGUAGUAAUACAAGGCAUACGGCUCAGUAACGCGUAGUCAACCUACCCUAUGGAUGGGGAUAAUCUCGGGAAACUGAGCAUAAUACCCAACAGAUCAUCAAUUCUGGAAUGGUUGAUGAUUCAAAUGAUUUUUCGCCAUAGGAUGGGACUGCGACCUAUCAGCUUGUUGGUGAGGUAAUGGCCCACCAAGGCAAUUACAGGUACGGGCUCUGAGAGGAGAAGCCCGGAGAUGGGUACUGAGACAAGGACCCAGCCCUAUGGGGCGCAGCAGGCGAGAAAACUUUGCAAUGUGCGAAAGCACGACAAGGUUAAUCCGAGUGAUUUCUGCUAAAGGAAUCUUUUACCAGUUCUAAAAAUACUGGCGAAUAAGGGGUGGGCAAGUUCUGGUGUCAGCCGCCGCGGUAAAACCAGCACCUCAAGUGGUCAGGAGGAUUAUUGGGCCUAAAGCAUCCGUAGCCGGCUCUGUAAGUUUUCGGUUAAAUCUAUAUGCUCAACAUAUAGGCUGCCGAAAAUACUGCAUAGCUAGGGAAUGGGAGAGGUAGACGGUACUCGGUAGGAAGGGGUAAAAUCCUUUGAUCUAUCGAUGACCACCUGUGGCGAAGGCGGUCUACCAGAACAUGUUCGACGGUGAGGGAUGAAAGCUGGGGGAGCAAACCGGAUUAGAUACCCGGGUAGUCCCAGCUGUAAACGAUGCAGACUCGAUAAUGCACUGGCACAUAGCCAGUGCAGUGUCGCAGGGAAGCCGUUAAGUCUGCCGCCUGGGAAGUACGUACGCAAGUAUGAAACUUAAAGGAAUUGGCGGGGGAGCACCACAAGGGGUGAAGCGUACGGUUCAAUUGGAUUCAACGCCGGG
rnacentral:rRNA from 1 species